rnacentral:rRNA from 1 species
AUUGAACGCUGGCGGCAGGCCUAACACAUGCAAGUCGAGCGGGGUUUUCGGACCUAGCGGCGGACGGGUGAGUAAUGCGUAGGAAGCUGCCCGAUAGAGGGGGAUACCAGUUGGAAACGACUGUUAAUACCGCAUAAUGUCUACGGACCAAAGUGUGGGCCUUCGGGCCACAUGCUAUCGGAUGCGCCUACGUGGGAUUA